UACGUAGGGGGCAAGCGUUAUCCGGAUUUACUGGGUGUAAAGGGAGCGUAGGUGGCAGGGCAAGUCAGAUGUGAAAACCCGGGGCUCAACUCCGGGAGUGCAUUUGAAACUGUCCAGCUAGAGUGCAGGAGAGGUAAGCGGAAUUCCUAGUGUAGCGGUGAAAUGCAUAGAUAUCGCGCAGAACUCCGAUUGCGAAGGCAGCGUACCGGCGCCAGACUGACGCUGAGGCACGAAAGCGUGGGGAUCGAACAGG
rnacentral:rRNA from 1 species